UACGAAGGGGGGCGAGCGUUGUUCGGAUUUACUGGGCGUAAAGGGCGCGUAGGCGGCGGGUCAAGUCGAGUGUGAAAGCCCCCGGGCUCAACCUGGGGAAUUGCGCUCGAGACUGGUCUGCUUGAGUUCGGGAGAGGAGAGUGGAAUUCCCAGUGUAGAGGUGAAAUUCGUAGAUAUUGGGAAGAACACCGGUGGCGAAGGCGGCUCUCUGGGACGGUACUGACGCUGAGACGCGAAAAGCGUGGGGAGCGAACAGG
rnacentral:rRNA from 1 species